rnacentral:rRNA from 1 species
UGUUGUAGCAAUACGAGGGAAAGUUCAGUGGCGAUCGGGUGCGUAACACGUGGGCAAUCUGCCUUAAAGUGUGGAAUAGCUCGGCGAAAGCCGAAUUAAUACCGCAUGUGGCUACUGGAGACAUCUUCGGGACGCUAAAGGUGGCGCAAGCUACCGCUUUUUGAGGAGCCCGCGGCCUAUCAGCUUGUUGGUGAGGUAACGGCUCACCAAGGCGUUGACGGGUAGCUGGUCUGAGAGGACGACCAGCCACACUGGGACUGAGACACGGCCCAGACACCUACGGGUGGCAGCAGUCGAGAAUUUUUGACAAUGGGGGAAACCCUGAUCGAGCGACGCCGCGUGGAGGAUGAAGGUCUUCGGGUUGUAAACUCCUGUCAUUUGGGAACAAGGCGUAUGUGUUAACUGUACGUGCGUUGAUAGUACCAGAAGAGGAAGAGACGGCUAACUCUGUGCCGCAGCCGCGGUAAUACAGAGGUCUCAAGCGUUGUUCGGAUUCAUUGGGCGUAAAGGGUGUGUAGGUGGCGCGCUAAGUCGGGUGUGAAAUUUCGGAGCUUAACUCCGAAACUGCAUUCGAUACUGGCGUGCUUGAGGACUGGAGAGGAGACUGGGAAUUCACGGUGUAGCAA